rnacentral:rRNA from 1 species
CUGACGAGUUUGAUCCUGGCUCAGAACGAACGCUGGCGGCAGGCCUAACACAUGCAAGUCGAACGCCGUAGCAAUACGGAGUGGCAGACGGGUGAGUAACACGUGGGAACGUACCCUUCGGUUCGGAAUAACUCAGGGAAACUUGAGCUAAUACCGGAUGCGUCCGUAAGGAGAAAGAUUUAUCGCCGAAGGAUCGGCCCGCGUCGGAUUAGCUAGUUGGCGGGGUAAUGGCCCACCAAGGCGACGAUCCGUAGCUGGUCUGAGAGGAUGAUCAGCCACGCUGGGACUGAGACACGGCCCAGACUCCUACGGGAGGCAGCAGUGGGGAAUAUUGGACAAUGGGCGCAAGCCUGAUCCAGCAAUGCCGCGUGUGUGAAGAAGGCCUGCGGGUUGUAAAGCACUUUUGUUCGGGAAGAAAUCAUGUCGGUUAAUACCCGAUGUGGAUGACGGUACCGAAAGAAUAAGCACCGGCUAACUUCGUG